UUGAUCAUGGCUCAGAACGAACGCUGGCGGCGUGCCUAACACAUGCAAGUCGUACGAGAAACACGUCCUUCGGGGCGUGGAGUAAAGUGGCGCACGGGUGAGUAACACGUGGGUAACCUGCCCUUGGAACCGGGAUAACUGGCCGAAAGGCCCGCUAAUACCGGAUAAGACUUCAUGAGCUUCGGCUCAUGCGGCCAAAGUCGGCCUCUCGAAGAAGCCGGCGCCUGAGGAUGGGCCCGCGGACCAUUAGCUAGUUGGUGAGGUAACGGCUCACCAAGGCCGAGAUGGUUAGCUGGUCUGAGAGGAUGAUCAGCCACACUGGAACUGAGAUACGGUCCAGACUCCUACGGGAGGCAGCAGUGAGGAAUAUUGCGCAAUGAGGCAACUCUGACGCAGCAACGCCGCGUGGGUGAAGAAGGCUUUCGGGUUGUAAAGCCCUGUCAGGUGGGAAGAAACCUCUUCUAGUGAAUAGCUAGAGGAACUGACGGUACCACCAAAGGAAGCACCGGCUAACUCCGUGCCAGCAGCCCGCGGUAAGACGGAGGGUGCAAGCGUUGUUCGGAAUCACUGGGCGUA
rnacentral:rRNA from 1 species